GACGAACGCUGGCGGCGUGCUUAACACAUGCAAGUCGAACGGAAAGGCCCUGCUUUUGUGGGGUGCUCGAGUGGCGAACGGGUGAGUAACACGUGAGUAACCUGCCCUUGACUUUGGGAUAACUUCAGGAAACUGGGGCUAAUACCGGAUAGGAGCUCCUGCUGCAUGGGGGGGGUUGGAAAGUUUCGGCGGUUGGGGAUGGACUCGCGGCUUAUCAGCUUGUUGGUGGGGUAGUGGCUUACCAAGGCUUUGACGGGUAGCCGGCCUGAGAGGGUGACCGGCCACAUUGGGCCUGGGGUACGGCCCAGACUCCUACGGGGGGCAGCAGUGGGGAAUAUUGCACAAUGGGCGGAGGCCUGUGGAAGCAACCCCGCGUGCGGGAUGACGGCCUUCGGGUUGUAAACGGCUUUAGCCUGUGACGAAGCGUGAGUGACGGUAAUGGGUAAAGAAGCACCGGCUAACUACGUG
rnacentral:rRNA from 1 species